rnacentral:rRNA from 1 species
CUACGGGAGGCAGCAGUGGGGAAUAUUGCGCAAUGGGCGAAAGCCUGACGCAGCGACGCCGCGUGUGGGAUGAAGGUCUUCGGAUUGUAAACCACUGUCGGGAGGGACGAAGCUCUGACGGUACCUCCAAAGGAAGCACCGGCUAACUCUGUGCCAGCAGCCGCGGUAAUACAGAGGGUGCGAGCGUUGUCCGGAAUCACUGGGCGUAAAGGGCGCGUAGGCGGCUUGGUAAGUAGGGGGUGAAAUCUCAUGGCUCAACUGUGAGGCUGCCUUCUAGACUGCCUGGCUCGAGCACAGUAGAGGCGAGUGGAAUUCCCGGUGUAGCGGUGGAAUGCGUAGAGAUCGGGAAGAACAUCGGUGGCGAAGGCGGCUCGCUGGGCUGUUGCUGACGCUGAUGCGCGAAAGCGUGGGGAGCAAACAGGAUUAGAAACCCUAGUAGUCC